AAGGUUGGGAGGGGGCUCGAGGCCAUCAGGCUCCAGGCCGCACUUGGCGCUGCCCCCUGGCGCCAGGGAAACAAAGGUUAGGGGCCCAGAGGGAGUUAUCUGGCCCCACCGCCACCGGGUGGGGGAAGGGGACCAAGAGGGGGCGCAGUUCCCCUCCACUCCCCCAGCCCUACUGAUUCUUCGAGACACUUUCACAGGCGGAAAUUCCCAGAGGUUACAGGCUGCUGUCCUCAGGGUGCCAGACAUCUUCUGCUCAAGAGCCAGCUGCCCUGGCCACCACAGCCCCACCUCCACCACCAGGCUGGGCAUCCCGAGGCUGGCAGGCAUCUCUUCAGGCAGCCGCCAGUCCUGGCACUGGCUCCCCCACUCAGCCCCUUGGCCCUGCCAGCCCUUUGAAGCUCAUGCAGCGCUUCCUGUUUGGGGCGGGCGAUGCCAGGGCCCCUCCCCCACCAUUGUUCUGGAGAGACCAUAGGUCCAUCUGUUGCCCCAUGGUGGGGCCCCUAGGCAGUGCCACACGGGAGCAGCACCACAAAGGACGCUGCUGGCAGCUUUGCUUAUGUGGGGUGCAGAGGCAGGUGGCUGCAGCUCACCUUCCCUCCAUGGCAUGAUCUCCCAGCUCUGACCCUUGACCUGUUCCCUCGCGGCAUCUCCACAGGGCUAGAAGGUGAACCCUACUUCCUUUACCAGGUCCUCUGGUUUCUCUUCCCAGGCCAGGACCUAAACCGUUCACAACUCCCAGCAGGCCAGAGCUGCAGAGACCUCAGAUAGAGACUAUAAAGUGCUGUGGAAGCCUUGUUCAAAUAAAAACAUUCAUGAAUGUCCAGUACUUGAAAUUGUGACGGGGGUCUUGCUAGGUUGCCAAGGCUGGUCUUGAACUCCUGACUUCAAGCAGUCCUCCCACCUCAGCCUCCUAGGGUGUCCGGAUUACAGGCAUGAGCCACUGUGCCCGGCCCCCUAUCACGAUAUCCAUAAGAUGCCAGGAUGCCCAGGAACCGAGUUUGAAAGACAUUGUGCUGCUGAUCCCACCUCCUGACUUUACAGCUGCUGAAUUGCAGAAGACAAAUUGGUAGCUAACAGGAGGCUCCAUCCUGGAUCCUGCCCCUGUCCGUGAGAUUCAGCCUUGAUUAACUGUGUUCCCAUGCUGGUCGUGAGCAGGGCACCAUCCUAGGUCCUUCUUUAUACUCAUUUUCCAUCUCCAGCCAAAAUGGGUUGAACCGAGGAACAAGGACAUAAUCUGUAAAGAGCAAGUGCAAGUCUCUGCUCUGCCAUUACCAGCAUCAGGCUAAUCAAGCCCUUGGAAACUCAAUUUCUUCUCCUGUAAAAUGUGAAUAACUGUUACAGACCUGGAAAGGCUCUUG
rnacentral:lncRNA from 1 species